CAGCCGCCGCGGUAAUACGGAGGGCGCGAGCGUUGUCCGGAUUUACUGGGCGUAAAGCGUGCGCAGGCGGCCCGUUAAGACAGGUGUGAAAUCCCUGGGCUCAACCUAGGAAUUGCGCUUGUGACUGGCGGGCUCGAGUACGGUAGAGGGGGGUGGAAUUCCUGGUGUAGCAGUGAAAUGCGUAGAGAUCAGGAGGAACACCGAUGGCGAAGGCAGCCCCCUGGGCCUGUACUGACGCUCAUGCACGAAAGCGUGGGGAGCAAACAGGAUUAGAUACCCUGGUAGUCCACGCCCUAAACGAUGGGUACUAGCCGUUUGGUGCGCGAAAGCGCUGAGUGGCGAAGCUAACGCGUGAAGUACCCCGCCUGGGGAGUACGGCCGCAAGGUUGAAACUUAAAGGAAUUGGCGGG
rnacentral:rRNA from 1 species